CAGAAGGUAGUUUAUUUAGAAUUUCAGCUUUGGGAGCUGAUGGUAGGGUUUAAGCCCUCCUUCUGA
rnacentral:tRNA from 1 species